rnacentral:rRNA from 1 species
UAUUAGUCAAUGCUCGCAAGAGUGAACUAGCUAACUGAAAUCCUUGAUGUGACAUCGAGGAUAACGUAAGGGAAAAUAAUGAUAUUACCUUACUAUUAGUGUCGUCCAAAUGCUCGUGCCAGAAGACUCGGUAAGGCGAGAGACGCAAACGUUAGUCGUCUUGAUCAGGCGUAAAGGGUUUGUAGGCAGCUUUAAGUAUCCAAUUUAAUGUUUACUAUUAUAAUAUUUACAUGUUAUAAUUUUUAUUAAAGGAUCAAUUAAAGCUAGAAUCUAGAAGAGGUGAAUACAAUGCUUGAGCUUAGGAGUACUAACCGCAAACAUCAAGUAGAGUGCUAAGGGCGAAGGCAGUUUUCCAAAACAGAUUGACGCUGAGAAACGAAGGUGAGGAUAGAAAAAAGGAUUAGAUACCCUUGUAUCCCUCACUGUCAACGAUGAAUGGUAGUUACUAGGGAGAAAUAACCUAGAGGCGAUGUUAACACGUAAACCAUUCCGCCUUGUGAGUACGACUGCAAAGUUGAAAACAAAAAAAUUAGUCGGUUUCGGAGCAAACGAAGUGAAGCAUGUUAUUUAU